rnacentral:rRNA from 1 species
UGGGGAAUAUUGCACAAUGGAGGGAACUCUGAUGCAGCGACGCCGCGUGAACGAAGAAGGCUUUCGAGUCGUAAAGUUCUUUUAUAUGGGAAGAUAAUGACGGUACCAUAAGAAAAAGCCCCGGCUAAAUACGUGCCAGCAGCCGCGGUAAUACGUAGGGGGCUAGCGUUGUCCGGAAUCACUGGGCGUAAAGGGUUCGCAGGCGGAAAUGCAAGUCAGGUGUAAAAGGCAUUAGCUUAACUACUGUAAGCAUUUGAAACUGCAUAUCUUGAGAAGAGUAGAGGUAAGUGGAAUUUUUAGUGUAGCGGUGAAAUGCGUAGAUAUUAAAAAGAAUACCGGUGGCGAAGGCGACUUACUGGGCUCAUUCUGACGCUGAGGAACGAAAGCGUGGGUAGCAAACAGG